rnacentral:rRNA from 1 species
AUUUAAAUACCUUAACGAGGAACAAUUAGAGGGCAAGUCUGGUGCCAGCAGCCGCGGUAAUUCCAGCUCUGAUAGUAUAUAUUAAAGUUGUUGCAGUUAAAAAGCUCGUAGUUGAAACUUGGGUGCGUAGGGGCGGUCUCUUUUAGAGUACUACCCUGAAACAUCUUUCUUUGGUGUAAACUCUUUAUUCACUUAAGGAGUGUAAACCAAACAUUUACUUUGAAAAAAUUAGAGUGUUCAAAGCAGGCCUUUGCUCGAAUAUAUUAGCAUGGAAUAAUAGAAUAGGACGUAUGGUUCUAUUUUGUUGGUUUCUAGGACCGUCGUAAUGAUUAAUAGGGACGGUCGGGGGCAUCAGUAUUCAGUUGUCAGAGGUGAAAUUCUUGGAUUUACUGAAGACUAACUACUGCGAAAGCAUUUGCCAAGGACGUUUUCAUUAAUCAAGAACGAAAGUUAGGGGAUCGAAGACGAUCAGAUACCGUCGUAGUCUUAACCGUAAACUAUGCCGACUAGGGAUCGGAGGGCGUUAUAAUAACCUCUCCGGCACCUUACGAGAAAUCAAAGUUUUUGGGUUCUGGGGGGAGUAUGGUUGCAAGGCUGAAACUUAAAGGAAUUGACGGAAGGGCACCACCAGGAGUGGAGCCUGCGGCUUAAUUUGACACAACACGGGGAAACUCACCAGGUCCAGACACAAUAAGGAUUGACAGAUUGAGAGCUCUUUCAUGAUUUUGUGGGUGGUGGUGCAUGGCCGUUCUUAGUUGGUGGAGUGAUUUGUCUGCUUAAUUGCGAUAACGAACGAGACCUUAACCUGCUAAAUAGCUGUAACAAUAGAUUAUUGUUUUGACAGCUUCUUAGAGGGACUAUCGAUUUUCAAGUCGAUGGAAGUUUGAGGCAAUAACAGGUCUGUGAUGCCCUUAGACGUUCUGGGCCGCACGCGCGCUACACUGACGGAGCCAGCGAGUCUAACCUGUGCCGAGAGGUAUGGGUAAUCUUGUGAAACUCCGUCGUGCUGGGGAUAGAGCAUUGCAAUUGUUGCUCUUCAACGAGGAAUUCCUAGUAAGCGCAAGUCAUCAGCUUGCGUUGAUUACGUCCCUGCCCUUUGUACACACCGCCCGUCGCUACUACCGAUUGAAUGGCUUAGUGAGGCUUCCGGAUUGAUUAAUUGGAGAGGGCAACUUUUCUGAUUGAACGAGAAGCUAGU